UUUACGUGUAUUUGAUAUCAUUACAGCUGUUUGACAACUUAACUUUUUCCUAUAUUUUUUUUGGUACUUACAAUUUAGAGAGUACACCUUUUGUUUCCACCGUCUUCUUCCUAUUUGUGUUCUUGCUCUCCAAAUCUAUUUGUGUUCUUGCUGCAUGUAUGUUUCUUCUUCAACUAAUUCUGCACAUAUCUUCUUCUUUUUUCUUAAUUCUUUUCUUUUUGGGUUUUCCCCGUCCUUUUUAGUUUUGCUAUCCAAUGGCUGUAGAAUCCAUUCAUCUUCAACCUCAAACUUCAUUGUAUCUCGCUUUAUCUCUCUUUCCCCCCCAUUAGAAGCUUCAUCCACUUGCAACAAUUUCCCAUUGUUGAUCUUCUCUUUUGUAAAGCCUAAAUGCUUCUCUAUCUCAGUCCGAUACUGACACUGAUCUGGUUGAUAAGCCUAAUUAAGAAGAAGAAAAUUUUGGGAACGAGAUUCAAGUUUUUGCACCAUCUGCAGAAAGGCUUCAAUUAUUAGGUUUUAACUCAGGAUUUUGAAAGGAGGAUUACUGUUUGCUGUAGCCUCUUAGUUGAUUUUGUAGGUUUGUUUUUGCUGCUAUAGAGUAAGUUGGAGUGUUGUUCAAUUUGUGAGAAACAUUGUGCAGCGGAAAAAGUCAGAAAGGACCAAGAUUGAUUGCUCAAUGGACAUGUCUCUCUAGAUAAUCGGGAAGAAAGCUUUAGCCUCUUUGCUUUGCUGUUCGAGUCAUUUGGUGUGCAGUAAAGGUAUGUGCUGCUAAUUGCUUUUUACUAUUAUUUCUAUAUGUUGGUAUAAUACUGGUUCAGCCAACGACCACAUUUAAUUUUUUAUGCAUCCCUGGCCUUUUCCAUCCUCUGAAGGUAAGAGAGAAAAUAGGAAAUUAUCAAGGAAUGUCUGACACUUUUAGCGCCUGUAAUUUUAUCAGCCAGAGGAUGUGAGAUAUAAUUAUAGAGAGAGACUUGAGGAAUUUUGGUUGCAAUUAUUUGGCUUUUAGCCUUUCAUUUCUUAUUCACGAAUGAAAGAAACUGAUCUUCACGAAUCAAUUUAAAGUGGAAACUGAAAAUUUGAAUCCAGUAUAAAGACUUUCAGAUACUUCAAAGAUAUUCUUGGUCCUCUUUGUUCUCGAAGAAGCUCCUUGAGUUAACUAUAUACAAUCAUGUCUGAUUUGCUAAAUUUUUAUGACUUUCUUUUACAAUCUUUAGAGGAAUCAAUACUUUAUUGUUUGUUAGAUAUCAUCUAAUGUCUUUGUUUGAAAGCAAGAAUUUCAUCAAACAGGUAAGAAUCCCAAUGGAGCCUCCUGAAAGUGACAUCUCCUCAUGCUGCUCUCGCAUCAAGUCAUUCAACCGGUGCCAUUAUAUAUAUUAAGGACUGCGAAGAAGACUAAUUACAACAUUGUAAAUGUAUCACUUUUAGUCAAUAUGUAAAUAUUAUCCAUGAAUUUAAAGAAUAUGUCACCUUGCAAGGCAACAUUCAAGAAGGGAUAUUUUUGUUCCUCUAUGUAUGUAAAUAAAUAACGUCCAAUAGUUAAUAUGCAAUGUCCUAUUUAUCCAAUUUGAUAGUUAUUUA